CUCACUCACACGAAGUGUUCUGUGUGUCUGGUGGCUUCCGGGACAGCUCCCGAGGCAGUGACUCUCUUUCUACUUCUCAGGAGUUUAACUAGAAAUUGGAAAGCAUCGGGGAAGCUCAUGGAUGGCAAGCAGUCAAUGACUUUGCUAAAGUGUUACUAUCCUGUGGAAGAGGAAACUCUUUCAGCAAAAUGCCUGGCAAGCCUGGAUGAAUUGAUAAAUCCAGUGAUUUGCUUCCCCCCGGGAUGCUGAGAAAUUACAAAAAGGGAGAUGGUCUUUCUUUCUACUUCCAACUUUGAAGCCGGGGUAGUCAUUACUGUCAGGGAGCAUUAUUAACUGCCUGAAUUUCUGAUGCUCAGCACAACCCCUGACUAGGAGCAGCUUCCUUCUUUUGAUUAGCUCUUUCGUAUUUAAGUUUAUCAGUCUUUGUCUUUAUCAUGUAUAUACUUUGUGUCUAGUUUAAGAUCUGCCUUACUCUGAAGUUAAACAAAUAUUCUCCUAAAUCGUAUUUUGAAGGUUUUAUAAUUUUCUUUUUAAUAUUUGGCCUCUAACCAACUUGGAAUUCACAUAUAAAGAGUACAUAUAUAAAUUUUAGGGUUGGUUUGUCAAGUUCUACCAAAUAAACAUUGGGAUUUAGAUCUAUAGAUCUAUUAAGGAGGAAUUGAUAUCUUCAUGAUAUCAGGUCUUUAAUUUAUGAAAUGAUAUUUUUAUUUUUUUAUUUUUCCUUAGAAUGUUUUAAUAAAAUUUAUCCUCUCUUUAAAGCACUCUACUUCUUUGGUUAGUUUUUUCUAAAAAAUACUUUAAAAAGUAUUCUUAAUUUUUGCUUUUUAUUUUUGACACCUUUAAUUUGAAAAAAAAUUAUUUGUACUUUUUAGAUAUACAUGACAGUAGAGUGAAUUUUGCAAUAGUAUGCAUAACAUGGAGUAAAACUUAUUCUAAUUAGGAUCCCAUUCUUGUGGUUGAAUAUGAUGUGGAGUUUCACUGGUGGUGUAUUUAUAUAUGAACAUAGGAAAGUUAUGUCCAGUUCAUUCUAUUUUCUUUCCUAUUUCCACCCCGCCCUCCCUUCCCUUCAUUCCCCUUUGUCUAAGACACCUUUGAUUUUGAUACUUCAUAUGAGUAUCAUUUUUAAAAGUUUAUUCUCCACUGUUGUGAAGAUUAGAAGAGCAAUUGUUUUUUUAGUUUCUAAUAAUUUUGAAAAAAUUCUCAUAUUAUUUGUUAGAUUUGCUUAUUUUUUAUGUAAGGAAUCUUCUUUUGCAAAGAAUGACUUUUUUUCUUCUUUUAAAUUCUUAAUGUUUUUAUUAUAAACUUUGAUAUCUUCCCCACCUUAAUUGCCUUGGCUCUCUAGUGUAAUUGUUGAAAGCACGGUGUGAUGGUGGUUACUCUCUUAUUGGUUACAAUUUUAAAAGAAUAUUUAAAAUUCUUUAUGUAUUAUGUUUGCCAUAGGUCUUAUUACAUAAUACAUAAAAUUUUUUAUGUAUUAUGUUUGCCAUAGGUCUUAUUAAAGAAAUUCCUAUUGU